GAAAUAUAAAUAAUUAAGCUUCUAACUUAAAUAAAUAGCGGUAAGCCGUUAAUAUUUCU
rnacentral:tRNA from 1 species